GUGCUAGCUUCGGCAGCACAUAUACUAAAAUUGGAAGGACACAGAGAAGUUUAGCAUGGCCCCUGCACAAAUGUGACACACAAAUUCGUGAAGCUUUCCAUAUUUUU